GAUGAACGCUGGCGGCGUGCCUAAUACAUGCAAGUCGAGCGAACGGACGAGGAGCUUGCUUUUCUGAUGUUAGCGGCGGACGGGUGAGUAACACGUGGAUAACCUACCUAUAAGACUGGGAUAACUUCGGGAAACCGGAGCUAAUACCGGAUAAUAUUUUGAACCGCAUGGUUCAAAAGUGAAAGACGGUCUUGCUGUCACUUAUAGAUGGAUCCGCGCUGCAUUAGCUAGCUGGUAAGGUAACGGCUUACCAAGGCAACGAUGCAUAGCCGACCUGAGAGGGUGAUCGGCCACACUGGAACUGAGACACGGUCCAGACUCCUACGGGAGGCAGCAGUAGGGAAUCUUCCGCAAUGGGCGAAAGCCUGACGGAGCAACGCCGCGUGAGUGAUGAAGGUCUUCGGAUCGUAAAACUCUGUUAUUAGGGAAGAACAUAUGUGUAAGUAACUGUGCACAUCUUGACGGUACCUAAUCAGAAAGCCACGGCUAACUACGUG
rnacentral:rRNA from 1 species